UACGAAGGUGGCAAGCGUUGUUCGGAUUUACUGGGCGUACAGGGAGCGUAGGCGGUUGGGUAAGCCCUCCGUGAAAUCUCCGGGCCUAAACCCGGAAAGGGCGGAGGGGACUGCUCGGCUAGAGGAUGGGAGAGGAGCGCGGGAAUUCCCCGGUGUAGCGGUGAAAUGCGUAGAGAUCGGGAGGAAGGCCGGUGGCGAAGGCGGCGCUCUGGAACAUUUCUGACGCUGAGGCUCGAAAGCGUGGGGAGCAAAGCAGGG
rnacentral:rRNA from 1 species